rnacentral:rRNA from 1 species
GUUUCUGUAGGUGAACCUGCGGAAGGAUCAUUGUCGAUGCCUGCCCCACGGAAAGACCUGUGAACAUGUGAUGCCCGCAAGGGCCCAUGAGGGGUGGUCUUGGGGUAUGACAUCCAUGGCCACCUCUCGCUUGUUAGGGGUUGCUCUUGACACAUUGUCUCGUGGCCUCCUAGCUAACAACCAACUCCGGGCGUGGAUGGCGCCAAGGAAUCUCCAUGGAAGGGUGCAUAAUCCCAACAUUGUUGGGUGUUUUGCCUCUAUAUUCAAAAAACGACUCUCGGCAACGGAUAUCUCGGCUCUCGCAUCGAUGAAGAACGUAGCGAAAUGCGAUACUUGGUGUGAAUUGCAGAAUCCCGUGAACCAUCGAGUCUUUGAACGCAAGUUGCGCCCGAGGCCUUUGGGCCAAGGGCAUGCCUGCCUGGGCGUCACGCAUCGUUGCCCUUCCCUCCCUUUCCCCAUUAGGUGUUGGAGAGUUGGUGCAGAUGUUGGCCUCUCGUUCCGUUUUGGUGCGGUUGGCCCAAAUGAUGGCCCCCGACAACAAAGUGCCACGACGGUUGGUGGUUCAAUCUUAGGUGGUGGAAUGCUGGACGUUGUGCACGUUGUGUUGUCAUUGGGGUGUCGAGUGUGUGACCCGAUUAGGGAUCCGUUGUUGACGGAGCCUGCCUUGCGACCCCAGGUCAGGCGGGGCCACCCGCUGAAUUUAA